UACGUAGGGGGCAAGCGUUGUCCGGAUUUAUUGGGCGUAAAGAGCGUGUAGGCGGCUAGGUAGGUCCGUUGUGAAAACUCGAGGCUCAACCUCGAGCUGUCGAUGGAAACCAUCUGGCUAGAGUCCGGAAGAGGAGAGUGGAAUUCCUGGUGUAGCAGUGAAAUGCGCAGAUAUCAGGAAGAACACCCGUGGCGAAGGCGGCUCUCUGGUACGUGACUGACGCUGAGACGCGAAAGCGUGGGGAGCGAACAGG
rnacentral:rRNA from 1 species